rnacentral:snRNA from 1 species
GGAUGUGAGGGAGAUCUGGCUGCGACAUCUGUCACCCCAUUGAUCGCCAGGGUUGAUUCGGCUGAUCUGGCUGGCUAGGCGGGUGUCCCCUUCCUCCCUCACCGCUCCAUGUGCGUCCCUCCCGAAGCUGCGCGCUCGAAGAGGACGACCAUCCCUGAUAGAGGAGGACCGUUCUUCGGUCAAGGGUAUACGAGUAGCUGCGCUCCCCUGCUAGAACCUCCAAACAAGCUCUUAAAUGCACACUGAUGGAACAAAGAUACUUAAGGUACUCAACAUGUAUAAGAAUAAAAGCAAGCCAUAUAAAAUAAAAUUUUAUUGGCAAGGACUUUGUUU